CCUACGGGUUGCAGCAGUGGGGAAUAUUGCACAAUGGGCGCAAGCCUGACGCAGCCAUGCCGCGUGUAUGAAGAAGGCCUUCGGGUUGUAAAGUACUUUCAGCGGGGAGGAAGGCGAUAAGGUUAAUAACCUUGUCGAUUGACGUUACCCGCAGAAGAAGCACCGGCUAACUCCGUGCCAGCAGCCGCGGUAAUACGGAGGGUGCAAGCGUUAAUCGGAAUCACUGGGCGUAAAGCGCACGCAGGCGGUCUGUCAAGUCGGAUGUGAAAUCCCCGGACUCAACCUGGGAACUGCAUUCGAAACUGGCAGGCUGGAGUCUUGUAGAGGGGGGUAGAAUUCCAGGCGUAGCGGUGAAAUGCGUAGAGAUCUGGAGGAAUACCGGUGGCGAAGGCGGCCCCCUGGACAAAGACUGACGCUCAGGUGCGAAAGCGUGGGGAGCAAACAGGAUUAGAUACCCCGGUAGUC
rnacentral:rRNA from 1 species